CCAGCUGUAUUCUUCCUUUUUCUGGUGGGAGAUCUCACACCCAACAGGCUGAAGCAAGGCAGAAGGGGAAGAGGAGGCAGCACCGAACUGUUCAUCCGCUGGGGGAAUGAGCGAGUGGGAGAGGCUGCAGGUGAGAGCCCCACAGCAAGGCCCACGCUCCUCUUCGUGCCCCAAGCAGGGAUGUGCCUGCAGCUGAAAACAGUGAGAGGUUGUAACAGCCCAGCAUCAGCUGCCUUCAGUCCUCCACUUUGGGGCAUGGGAUGAAGAGGAGAAAAGAUCAGAGGAGGAGAGAAAAUCCGCAGAGAGCCCAACUUCAGCUCCUUUCCCACAGCACAGAUGGAAGCCCCAAACAGCAAGAAGGGGAUGGGAUUUGAAUGUUGGCCCUGUUCAACAAACAAACCACACUUUUGAAAGGCUGCAGCCAGUGGCUGUACUCCCCAGCCCCUCCAAAAAUGCUACCAGCUCCUGCAAAGUUAUGGAGAGUCUUCUAAUAUUUAGCAUUUUUGUGCUAAAGCCCCAGGUCCUGGAGUCAUGAGAAUACAGCAGGAUGUCAGCCUCCAGCUAGAGUAAAUAAAGUGUGGAUUCCCAUUGCUUGGGCCGGCCCAGGGAAGCCGAAUAACGUGACCCCUUAGGGCCAGAGGAAAAUCAUGGAAAGCACAUAGAGGGAUGUGGAGGCAGAGUGCUGGAGGCUGGGGAUCAGCCUGGUCCCACCUGUUGCUCCAGGGUCUUGCUUGUGCCAUCCACCAAAGAGCUCCAGCUGGGGAAAAGGAGGCAAAAAAUAUUCCCUACCACAGCACUACAUUUGAUUUUUGGUUAGCAAAUGAUCCCAGCAGUUCACUUCCCAUCAAUUUUGUAUGGCCACACUGCCCACCAAGCCACUUGGACCCAUGGGGCCGCACAGCAGCCUCCAUCCUGGGUCAUCUGAGGCCAAGCACUCCCCAGUCUCCCAAAUACUUCUCCCGCAGGGCACAUCGGCCAGAGCUCUGUGGCCUCGGCGAGGCUCAUCCCCAUCCCGGCAUUCCCCAGUUUACCCCAGGGAAGGCUCGUCUGGGAGCCUGAAUUAUUUUGGAGCCAGCCUGCUUGAGAAGAGGAACAGGUGAAGGAGGCCGGCAGAGCCCGGGGAAGGCCCCCCAGGAGAUAAAUUACUCGCUGCCUUCUGACGGCCUCGAGGUUGGCUCGGAUAAACCAGGCGUAUGACAGCAGCGGGAAACCGCAGCAAAGUUGGCCUGGGGCAGCUCGGGAUUAAGAGGAAACUUCGGCAUCCGCCAAGCCUCCCGGCCUCUCCCCGCCAGCUGCCUCCCAGAGCUUUCCCCCCGGAUCCUGCCCUGACCUCCCGUCCCCUCCACUCCCGGGGGCUCAGCACCAGCCACGCAUCCCCUGCCAGCACCGUGCUGCGUGCCAAACAUCCCCCCCCGUCCCCCCCCCCAACAUCCCAGCAUUUGGGUGUUUAAAAUGUAUCAGCGGUGCCAUCGCGGCUGCUGUUUUUCAUCCUUCAGCGAUAAGGCAUCUGCGUGUACACAGCACCCAGAAAAUUACUUACAAACAGCAGCUUCCUCCUGCAGAUCCCCCCCCCCCCCACCAAUUAUUAAUAUUAUCACAGAGGCAGACCUGCUCGGGUGUUGUUUUCAUUUAAGAUAUUUUUUCCCCGUUCCUUUUUUUUUGUGAGUAUGUUUGUGGUUUUUUUUUUUUUUUUUUUGAUUCUACACCCCACAUUGUGAUCGCCGAUUGGAGAUCACAAACCUGACAUUUCGGUGCCUGCUUUGCAGUGCCAGGCGGGCAAAACUGCCGGCGACAAUCGAUUCUCCCUGCAUCGUCUACCGGUGCCAUCCAAAACAUUUAAUCAACGCAAGAUCAACCCUUCCGGCAGCUCUCGUUCGCUUUAUUAUUAUUAUUAUUAUCAUCAUCAUUCUUUUUCCCCAGCCUCUGA